rnacentral:rRNA from 1 species
UCGAGAAUCUUCCGCAAUGCGCGAAAGCGUGACGGAGCAAUGCCGCGUGCAGGAUGAAGGCCCUAGGGUCGUAAACUGCUGUCACCCGGGAUGAAUACAUGACAGUACCGGGAGAGGAAGCCACGGCUAACUACGUGCCAGCAGCCGCGGUAAUACGUAGGUGGCGAGCGUUAUUCGGAUUUAUUGGGCGUAAAGGGUUCGUAGGGGGUUGGAUAAGUUUGAUGUGAAAGCCCGUGGCUCAACCACGGAACUGCAUUGGAAACUGUCCAACUUGAGGUUCGGAGAGGAAAGCAGAAUUCCCGGUGUAGCGGUGGAAUGCGUAGAUAUCGGGAGGAAUACCGACAGCGAAGGCAGCUUUCUGGACGACACCUGACCCUGAGGAACGAAAGCCUGGGGAGCAAACAGG